rnacentral:rRNA from 1 species
UACGUAGGGGCUAGCGUUGUCCGGAAUUACUGGGCGUAAAGGGCGCGUAGGCGGCCUGUUAAGUCGAACGUGAAAUCCCCGGGCUCAACCCGGGAACUGCGUCCGAUACUGGCAGGCUUGAAUCCGGGAGAGGGAUGCGGAAUCCCAGGUGUAGCGGUGAAAUGCGUAGAUAUCUGGAGGAACACCGGUGGCGAAGGCGGCAUCCUGGACCGGCAUUGACGCUGAGGCGCGAAAGCCAGGGGAGCAAACGGG